rnacentral:misc_RNA from 1 species
ACAAACUUGGUCAUUUAGAGGAAGUCGUAACAAGGUUUCCGUAGGUGAACCUGCGGAAGGAUCAUUAGAGAAACUCUCUCUUCCCAUCCACACACACACAGUGCACUCUUGUCGGCCGCUGGUCCACGGCGGCCGUCCCCUCACACACACACACGUGUAAAAGUCCCGAACGUUUUAACCCUAAACAAAAUACAACUUCCAACAACGGAUCUCUUGGCUCUCGCAUCGAAGAAGAACGCAAACUGGCUCUUUUAGAGGAAGUCGUAACAAGGUUUCCGUAGGUGAACCUGCGGAAGGAUCAUUAGAGAAACUCUCUCUUCCCAUCCACACACACACAGUGCACUCUUGUCGGCCGCUGGUCCACGGCGGCCGUCCCCUCACACACACACACGUGUAAAAGUCCCGAACGUUUUAACCCUAAACAAAAUACAACUUCCAACAACGGAUCUCUUGGCUCUCGCAUCGAUGAAGAACGCAGC